rnacentral:rRNA from 1 species
GUGAGGAAUAUUGGUCAAUGGGCGCAAGCCUGAACCAGCCAUGCCGCGUGCAGGAAGAAUGCCCUAUGGGUUGUAAACUGCUUUUAUUUAGGAAUAAACCCCUUUACGUGUAGAGGGCUGAAGGUACUAAAUGAAUAAGCACCGGCUAACUCCGUGCCAGCAGCCGCGGUAAUACGGAGGGUGCAAGCGUUAUCCGGAAUCAUUGGGUUUAAAGGGUCCGCAGGCGGGCGUAUAAGUCAGUGGUGAAAGCCCGUUGCUUAACAACGGAACUGCCAUUGAUACUGUAUGUCUUGAAUUCGGUCGAAGUGGGCGGAAUGUGUAGUGUAGCGGUGAAAUGCUUAGAUAUUACACAGAACACCGAUAGCGAAGGCAGCUCACUAGGCCUGAAUUGACGCUCAUGGACGAAAGCGUGGGGAGCAAACAGGAUUAGAAACCCGAGUAGUCC